GGUUACUGCUAUCGGUGUUCGCCUAAGCCAUGCGAGUCAUAUGUUCGUAAGAACAUGGCGUACUGCUCAGUAACACGUGGAUAACCUGCCCUUGGGUCCGGCAUAACCCCGGGAAACUGGGGAUAAUUCCGGAUAACGCACAUAUGCUGGAAUGCUUUUUGCGUAAAAUGGAUUCGUCUGCCCAAGGAUGGGUCUGCGGCCUAUCAGGUAGUAGUGGGUGUAAUGUACCUACUAGCCUACGACGGGUACGGGUUGUGAGAGCAAGAGCCCGGAGAUGGAUUCUGAGACAUGAAUCCAGGCCCUACGGGGCGCAGCAGGCGCGAAAACUUUACAAUGCGGGAAACCGUGAUAAGGGGACACCGAGUGCCAGCAUCCUAUGCUGGCUGUCCGGGUGUGUAAAAUACACCUGUUAGCAAGGGCCGGGCAAGACCGGUGCCAGCCGCCGCGGUAACACCGGCGGCCCGAGUGGUGAUCGUGAUUAUUGGGUCUAAAGGGUCCGUAGCCGGUUUGGUCAGUCCUCCGGGAAAUCUGACAGCUCAACUGUUAGGCUAUCGGAGGAUACUGCCAGACUUGGAACCGGGAGAGGUAAGAGGUACUACAGGGGUAGGAGUGAAAUCUUGUAAUCCCUGUGGGACCACCUGUGGCGAAGGCGUCUUACCAGAACGGGUUCGACGGUGAGGGACGAAAGCUGGGGGCACGAACCGGAUUAGAUACCCGGGUAGUCCCAGCCGUAAACGAUGCUCGCUAGGUGUCAGGCAUGGCGCGACCGUGUCUGGUGCCGCAGGGAAGCCGUGAAGCGAGCCACCUGG
rnacentral:rRNA from 1 species